rnacentral:rRNA from 1 species
AUGAAGACCUGUAUGAAUGGCAUAACGAGGGCUUAACUGUCUCCUUUUUCCAGUCAAUGAAAUUGAUCCCUCCGUGCAGAAGCGGAGAUAAACACAUAAGACGAGAAGACCCUAUGGAGCUUCAGACAACAUGUGGACCAUGUUAAUAAACCUUACUCAACAAGAACAAACCAAUUGGGACCCACCUUAGUGUC